rnacentral:rRNA from 1 species
AGCAGCCGCGGUAAUUCCAGCUCCAAUAGCGUAUAUUAAAGUUGUUGUAGUUAAAAAGCUCGUAGUUGAAUUUCGGGAUCAAUAUUUCGGUCAUGCCGUUGGUAUGCACUGUUAUCAUUGAUUUCUCACCUUCUAAAGAACCAUAAUGCCAUUAAUUUGGUGUUACGGGGAAUUAGGACUGUUACCUUGAAAAAUUAGAAUGUUUAAAGCAGGCUCGCGCUUGAAUACAUUAGCAUGGAAUAAUGAAAUAGGACGUUUGACCCUAUUUUGUUGGUUUCUAGGAUCGACGUAAUGAUUAAUAGGGAUAGUUGGGGGCAUUAGUAUUCAAUUGUCAGAGGUGAAAUUCUUGGAUUUAUUGAAGACUAACUACUGCGAAAGCAUUUGCCAAGGAUGUUUUCAUUAAUCAAGAACGAAAGUUAGGGGAUCGAAGACGAUCAGAUACCGUCGUAGUCUUAACCAUAAACUAUGCCGACUAGGGAUCGGAUGAUGUUAAUUUUUUAAUGACUCUA